rnacentral:rRNA from 1 species
GACGUAGGGCGCGAGCGUUGUCCGGAUUUACUGGGCGUAAAGAGCGCGCAGGCGGUCGUUCAAGUCGCGUGUGAAAGCCCCCGGCUCAACUGGGGAGGGUCACGCGAUACUGAUCGACUCGAAGGCAGGAGAGGGUAGUGGAAUUCCCGGUGGAGUGGUGAAAUGCGUAGAUAUCGGGAGGAACACCAGUGGCGAAGGCGACUACCUGGGCUGUUCUUGACGCUGAGGCGCGAAAGCUAGGGGAGCAAACGGG